CGUCACACAUCAUUCUGACUUGAUCAAGUCAAAAACUCUUUCUUCUUCUCCAGAAGACGAUCACAGAAGAAGAAGAAGAAACCAUGGCGGAAGAAGAGAAAAGCGUGAAGAAGCAAGUGAUGGUGGCGAUUGAUGAAAGCGAAUGCAGUAAAAGCGCUCUCAAAUGGACGCUAGAGUAUCUCAAAGAUAGUAUCGCCGAUUCCGAUAUCAUCCUCUUCACCGCUCAACCUCCACUUGAUCUCAGCUGUGUUUAUGCUUCCUCUUAUGGAGCAGCUCCGAUUGAGCUUAUAGACUCAAUGCAAGAGAAUCAUAAGAACGCUGGAUUGAAUCGGAUUGAUCAAGGGGUCAAAAUUUGUGCUGAGAUUGGGGUUACUCCAAGAAAGGUGAUGGAGUUUGGAAAUCCUAAAGAAGCGAUAUGUGAAGCUGCUGAGAAGCUUGGUGUUGAUUUGCUUGUUGUUGGAAGCAAUGGUAAAGGAGCAAUACAAAGGACUUUCCUUGGAAGUGUUAGCAAUUACUGUGUUAACCAUGCUAAGUGUCCAGUUCUUGUGGUGAGAACAAAGGCUUGAAGACCACUUCUCUUCACAGAGAUUGAUAAUACUUGCCUGCUGUAUGUGUUGUAAACGUAUUGUGAUAUAUAAUGCUCUGCUUGUUUAAAAUACUUGUAUUAAUCUGAUACGAAGAGACUUAUUAGAGACAUCAAAUGUUAUAAACUCGGCUUCAACCGAAAAUCCUGUUUAGGGUAGCUGCCAGUCUCACCCCUCCUUGUGCUAAGCGCUGAUACACUAUUGGUAGACGUGAAUAAAAGUAUUCAUCUGCAAAGGAUA